rnacentral:rRNA from 1 species
AGAGUUUGAUCCUGGCUCAGAAUGAACGCUGGCGGCAGGCCUAACACAUGCAAGUCGAACGGAUCCUUCGGGAUUAGUGGCGGACGGGUGAGUAACGCGUGGGAACGUACCCCUUUCUUCGGAAUAGCCUCGGGAAACUGGGAGUAAUACCGGAUAAGCCCUAUUGGGGAAAGAUUUAUCGGGAAGGGAUCGGCCCGCGUUGGAUUAGGUAGUUGGUGGGGUAAUGGCCUACCAAGCCGACGAUCCAUAGCUGGUUUGAGAGGAUGAUCAGCCACACUGGGACUGAGACACGGCCCAGACUCCUACGGGAGGCAGCAGUGGGGAAUCUUAGACAAUGGGGGAAACCCUGAUCUAGCCAUGCCGCGUGAUCGAUGAAGGCCUUAGGGUUGUAAAGAUCUUUCAGUGGGGAAGAUAAUGACGGUACCCACAGAAGAAGCCCCGGCUAACUCCGUG